rnacentral:rRNA from 1 species
UCCUGUAGUCGAAAAUGUUGUCUCUCUUGAGUGGAUCCUGAGUACGACGGAGCACGUGAAAUUCCGUCGGAAUCUGGGAGGACCAUCUCCUAAGGCUAAAUACUCUCUAGUGACCGAUAGUGAACCAGUACCGUGAGGGAAAGGUGAAAAGCACCCCGGAAGGGGAGUGAAAUAGAACCUGAAACCGUGUGCUUACAAGUAGUCAGAGCCCGUUAAUGGGUGAUGGCGUGCCUUUUGUAGAAUGAACCGGCGAGUUACGAUUUGAUGCAAGGUUAAGCAGUAAAUGUGGAGCCGUAGCGAAAGCGAGUCUGAAUAGGGCGUUUAGUAUUUGGUCGUAGACCCGAAACCAGGUGAUCUACCCUUGGUCAGGUUGAAGUUCAGGUAACACUGAAUGGAGGACCGAACCGACUUACGUUGAAAAGUGAGCGGAUGAACUGAGGGUAGCGGAGAAAUUCCAAUCGAACCUGGAGAUAGCUGGUUCUCUCCGAAAUAGCUUUAGGGCUAGCCUCAAGUGAUGAUUAUUGGAGGUAGAGCACUGUUUGGACGAGGGGCCCCUCUCGGGUUACCGAAUUCAGACAAACUCCGAAUGCCAAUUAAUUUAACUUGGGAGUCAGAACAUGGGUGAUAAGGUCCGUGUUCGAAAGGGAAACAGCCCAGACCACCAGCUAAGGUCCCAAAAUAUAUGUUAAGUGGAAAAGGAUGUGGCGUUGCCCAGACAACUAGGAUGUUGGCUUAGAAGCAGCCAUCAUUUAAAGAGUGCGUAAUAGCUCACUAGUCGAGUGACACUGCGCCGAAAAUGUACCGGGGCUAAACAUAUUACCGAAGCUGUGGAUUGUCCUUUGGACAAUGGUAGGAGAGCGUUCUAAGGGCGUUGAAGCAUGAUCGUAAGGACAUGUGGAGCGCUUAGAAGUGAGAAUGCCGGUGUGAGUAGCGAAAGACGGGUGAGAAUCCCGUCCACCGAUUGACUAAGGUUUCCAGAGGAAGGCUCGUCCGCUCUGGGUUAGUCGGGUCCUAAGCUGAGGCCGACAGGCGUAGGCGAUGGAUAACAGGUUGAUAUUCCUGUACCACCUAUAAUCGUUUUAAUCGAUGGGGGGACGCAGUAGGAUAGGCGAAGCGUGCGAUUGGAUUGCACGUCUAAGCAGUAAGGCUGAGUAUUAGGCAAAUCCGGUACUCGUUAAGGCUGAGCUGUGAUGGGGAGAAGACAUUGUGUCUUCGAGUCGUUGAUUUCACACUGCCGAGAAAAGCCUCUAGAUAGAAAAUAGGUGCCCGUACCGCAAACCGACACAGGUAGUCAAGAUGAGAAUUCUAAGGUGAGCGAGCGAACUCUCGUUAAGGAACUCGGCAAAAUGACCCCGUAACUUCGGGAGAAGGGGUGCUCUUUAGGGUUAACGCCCAGAAGAGCCGCAGUGAAUAGGCCCAAGCGACUGUUUAUCAAAAACACAGGUCUCUGCUAAACCGUAAGGUGAUGUAUAGGGGCUGACGCCUGCCCGGUGCUGGAAGGUUAAGAGGAGUGGUUAGCUUCUGCGAAGCUACGAAUCGAAGCCCCAGUAAACGGCGGCCGUAACUAUAACGGUCCUAAGGUAGCGAAAUUCCUUGUCGGGUAAGUUCCGACCCGCACGAAAGGCGUAACGAUUUGGGCACUGUCUCAACGAGAGACUCGGUGAAAUCAUAGUACCUGUGAAGAUGCAGGUUACCCGCGACAGGACGGAAAGACCCCGUGGAGCUUUACUGUAGCCUGAUAUUGAAAUUCGGCACAGCUUGUACAGGAUAGGUAGGAGCCUUUGAAACGUGAGCGCUAGCUUACGUGGAGGCGCUGGUGGGAUACUACCCUAGCUGUGUUGGCUUUCUAACCCGCACCACUUAUCGUGGUGGGAGACAGUGUCAGGCGGGCAGUUUGACUGGGGCGGUCGCCUCCUAAAAGGUAACGGAGGCGCUCAAAGGUUCCCUCAGAAUGGUUGGAAAUCAUUCAUAGAGUGUAAAGGCAUAAGGGAGCUUGACUGCGAGACCUACAAGUCGAGCAGGGUCGAAAGACGGACUUAGUGAUCCGGUGGUUCCGCAUGGAAGGGCCAUCGCUCAACGGAUAAAAGCUACCCCGGGGAUAACAGGCUUAUCUCCCCCAAGAGUUCACAUCGACGGGGAGGUUUGGCACCUCGAUGUCGGCUCAUCGCAUCCUGGGGCUGUAGUCGGUCCCAAGGGUUGGGCUGUUCGCCCAUUAAAGCGGUACGCGAGCUGGGUUCAGAACGUCGUGAGACAGUUCGGUCCCUAUCCGUCGUGGGCGUAGGAAAUUUGAGAGGAGCUGUCCUUAGUACGAGAGGACCGGGAUGGACAUACCUCUGGUGUACCAGUUGUCGUGCCAACGGCAUAGCUGGGUAGCUAUGUGUGGACGGGAUAAGUGCUGAAAGCAUCUAAGCAUGAAGCCCCCCUCAAGAUGAGAUUUCCCAACUUCGGUUAUAAGAUCCCUCAAAGAUGAUGAGGUUAAUAGGUUCGAGGUGGAAGCAUGGUGACAUGUGGAGCUGACGAAUACUAAUCGAUCGAAGACUUAAUC